rnacentral:lncRNA from 10 species
CUGGGAUUUACACGCAGGGCUUGAAAUACUUAGUUUUCUGUCUAAAGAAUCAGCUGAAGCUCAGGCUAAGCCCCGCUAUUCACUGCAAUUCAGUUAUAUAAAACAAACACUUGUAAAGCAAUUACUACUUGUCAAGGCUGUGCUAAGGGGAUAUAAGAAAAUUACACACAAUGAACAAGAAAACAGCGUAAGCCUCAGGAGCUAACAGACCAGCUGCAGAAAAACAUCAGAAGGAAGGUCUCACAACGCAGAUGAUGCUUCCACGGACCGUGAAGGACGAAUCCUAUGAGGAUCUCCACAUCUUGCUAUGACUCAGAGUUUCUUCUCAAAUGUACACUGAUAAAUACUCAACUGAAGAUUCAACUGAAAUCCUCUAUGGGUCUCCAGACUCCCCCAUUCUGGAACUCUUCCCUGCAAAUUCCAGCUGCCUAAACUCCCUUCCAUCUCUCAGUUUCUCUAUAACUGAGGAACACCGUCAGGCUCCAGCUGGAUUUUCCUUCCUUGUGCACUGAUCUGGAAAGUCUUUCACAUCAGUAAGUGAGGGAAAUCAUAGAGUUCUCCUGGAUAGAAGAGGCCCUGGUUAGCAGCUUCAGAUGAUGGAUACAUAAAAAUGGGAGAGAGAAAACAUAUAAGAGUGACUAAUUGUUGAGUUUCCAGGGCUCAAACCAAUCUUGAAUUGGAAUUUCAAGACAUAAAAACCACUGCAGGAACCUGCUGGAGAAACGGCCUCUGGUAUCUCUAUCUGAAAUAUGAUUAUCUUAAGUUCGCAAAGCAUUGUGUCUGCAGUGUGAGUUUGAAAACAACAAUGUUAAGGCAACUUCGCAGCUUCUUAAUCAAGCCCUUCUCCAUCUCUCCGUGUGGUUUUUGGGGUGGUGGAGGUGGAGCCAAAAAAGAGAGGGCAGUUUCCCAGGGCUGAAGAUGCUACCAUGACUCAUAGGAUCUAUGCAAACCCUGUGAGUGAAUUCUGAGGAAGAAGAAUGAGUAAUAUUUUGAUUUUAUUACUGAUGGUAAUAAGAUAGUAUCAUCAGUGUGGUAUAUUCUGAUUACUGAAUUCUAUUCCCUAUUUUCUUCCUGUGGCCAAAUAAAAUUUGUGUGUGUAAGCUAUGAUAUUUAGUGUUGUUAUCUGAUGAGACAGGUUUAGUGGAAAAGUUCAUUUUAAAUAAACAUUAAAAUUGUUUCAGCCUCAGAUUUUUAAUCCAAAUCAUUCCUUUGACACCAGAAGAAUUUUCCUCAGAGUCAACUCCAAAGAUAAAGCUGCCUGUUUUCCUAUUUGCCCAGAAGUAAAGAGGUUGCAAAA